AUAAAACUAUAGGUGUGGGUUUACCUCACAUGUCCUGUAAAACAGAAGUGUACGGUAGCUUGAGUUUUAAUUUUCCUUAAAAAAAAAAAAAAGCAUGCUCAGGGCUCAGUUUGGGCUCCUCUGUCCCAGAAAUUCCGUGAUCCUGCCCCCUCCCUCUGGCUUGGCCUGAAUUUGGGUCUUCCUGUUCUUUGUCCCAAGGGAUUCCCAUUCUCUGCCAGGUUCAGACAGGAUGACUCAGCCUGGAAACCUCCCUUCAAAAGGCACAGGAGCACAGGCAGAUCCCCUGCCCGCUUGCCUGUCCUGGCUCUUCUUCCUUGGGAGGGUGCUCUGGCAUCUAGGUUCCAGCGCUGGCCCCAAGGCACCUCUAGCCUCACCCUCUUCCCCCAGACACACAGCCACAAGCCCUCUAGCCGACUUUCCUGCCUACGCUGAUGCCCUUCCAGCUCAGAGAGCUAAAGAGGAGACAUCCCCGCCCAACAGGAUGCUUGGGAAAUGCGUGUGUUCCUUACGGCUCAGGAAGAGGUCUUUCUCUAAAGAACAAUCCUGAACUUUGUCCAAAGCAUCGCGAACUUGCUGGGAGUCAUCUUCCUGUGAGCAUCUGGAAAAAAGCCUUGUGUCCAAGCAGAAUUGGAAGCACACAUCUACUGUUUCCUUUAGUCAAGACCUUGAAUUCCUGGAGCUGUUUCCUGCCCCCGCUGAUGGCCACGGUCCCUCUCUGGGGCUGCCAGAUUUGGGUAAUGUCUUCUGGAAAGAUACAGAAGUGUCACAGCAGAGCACAUGAUGAAUUUGUGGUGAGAAUUGGGGUUUGGGGAACAUUGGAAAUGGCUCAUUGGACGGGUAGAGGGAGGCUCCGCUCAUAAUGAGGAAGACUUCUAGAAUCAACCCUGACAUUCAGAAGUAGCCUUGGGUUAGGAGUGAGAAGGUGUAAGUUCUCAGGAACGGUUCUGAUUCUGAAAUGUAGUCCUAGCCUAGAAACUUCAACCCUUGGUACGUCAGACUCCACAGGUAUAAAACACAGCAGAUUGGAUUGUGUUCAUACAGUCCCCAAAUAUUUAUUGAGCACCUACUCGCACACAUGCACUAUGUGUUAAUAUCAGCCUAGUAUAGAGAGAGUAAUGGGAAUUGAUUCUUGGUCCUUGACUGAGAGUGGGAGGGAGAGAGGACGGCUCACAGACUGAUGGAAAAGAAUGAAGGAGUUAUUAGACAUCAGUGACAAAAGCUAAGUUGGGAACACAUGCGGAGAGAGGGGAAACAGCCUUGGGAAACCACAGGUGGAUGAGAACACAGGUGUUGGGUAGGACUGCUGCUGCUGCUGCUGCUGCUGCUGCUGCUGCUAAGUCGCUUUAGUCGUGUCCGACUCUGUGUGACCCCAUAGACGGCAGCCCACCAGGCU
ensembl:lncRNA